AAGACAUCAGCUUCUCCAUUGUUAGGGUUUCAUCUGUUUCUUCUCUCAAAUCAGGUUUGAUUGGUCUACUUUGGAGAAUUGUGUUGUGGUAUGCGAUGUGAUGAUUUAAGAUAGGUAUUAGGUUCUGGCUUGAUUUUUGGAUAGAGCUUUGUUGUUUGUGGUUGGAAUUUUGGAAGGUUAUAUAGCUAAGUUUUGCUGGAAAUGAGUGUAGUUGGGUUUGAUGUGGGAAAUGAGAACUGUGUUAUAGGAGUUGCAAAGCAACGAGGAAUUGAUGUAAUAUUAAAUGAUGAAUCGAAUCGAGAGACACCAGCGGUGGUGUCGUUUGGUGAGAAACAAAGGUUUAUUGGUGCAGCUGGAGCUGCAUCGGCUACUAUGAACCCGAAAUCAACUAUUUCGCAGGUAAAGAGGUUGAUUGGUAGGAAAUAUAGGGAGCCUGCUGUUCA
rnacentral:misc_RNA from 1 species